AGUGAACGCUGGCGGUAGGCCUAACACAUGCAAGUCGAACGGCAGCACAGUAAGAGCUUGCUCUUACGGGUGGCGAGUGGCGGACGGGUGAGGAAUACAUCGGAAUCUACUUUUUCGUGGGGGAUAACGUAGGGAAACUUACGCUAAUACCGCAUACGACCUACGGGUGAAAGCAGGGGAUCUUCGGACCUUGCGCGAUUGAAUGAGCCGAUGUCGGAUUAGCUAGUUGGCGGGGUAAAGGCCCACCAAGGCGACGAUCCGUAGCUGGUCUGAGAGGAUGAACCGCCACCACGGGAACUGGGACACGGCCCAGACUCCUCGGGAGGGAAGCGUGGGGAAAUAUGGGCCAAUGGGGGCAAGCUUGACCCGCCCAUCCCGGGUGGUUGAAGAGGGCCUCGGGGUGGAAAAGCCCUUUGGUGGGGAAGAAAAACAAGAAGUUAAAUACCCGGUUGUCUUGAGGGACCCAAAAGAAUAAGCACCGCCAAACUUGUG
rnacentral:rRNA from 1 species